rnacentral:rRNA from 1 species
AUUGAACGCUGGCGGCAUGCCUAACACAUGCAAGUCGAACGAGUGGCGGACGGGUGAGUAAUGUCUGGGAAACUGCCUGAUGGAGGGGUAUAACUACUGGAAACGGUAGCUAAUACCGCAUACCAUCGGAUGUGCCCAGAUGGGAUUAGCUAGUAGGUGGGGUAAAGGCUCACCUAGGCGACGAUCCCUAGCUGGUCUGAGAGGAGGACCAGCCACACUGGAACUGAGACACGGUCCAGACUCCUACGGGAGGCAGCAGUGGGGAAUAUUGCACAAUGGGGGCAAGCCUGAUGCAGCCAUGCCGCGUGUGUGAAGAAGGCCUUCGGGUUGUAAAGCACUUUCAGCAGGGAGGCGUUACCCGCAGAAGAAGCACCGGCUAACUCCGUGCCAGCAGCCGCGGUAAUAC